rnacentral:rRNA from 1 species
CAAAUUUCUGCCCUAUCAACUUUCGAUGGUAGAGUAGUGGUCUACCAUGGUUUCAACGGGUAACGGGGAAUUAGGGUUCUAUUCCGGAGAGGGAGCCUGAGAAACGGUACCACAUCCAAGGAAGGCAGCAGGCGCGCAAAUUACCCAAUCCCGACACGGGGAGGUAAGUGACAAUAAAUACUGAUACAGGGCUCUUUUGGGUCUGUGUAAUCGGAAUGAGUACAAUUUAAAUUCCUUAAGAGGAACAAUUGGAGGGCAAGUCU